AACCUGCCCCUGACUCUGGGAUAAGCGCUGGAAACGGCGUCUAAUACUGGAUAUGUGACGUGACCGCAUGGUCUGCGUCUGGAAAGAAUUUCGGUUGGGGAUGGGCUCGCGGCCUAUCAGCUUGUUGGUGAGGUAAUGGCUCACCAAGGCGUCGACGGGUAGCCGGCCUGAGAGGGUGACCGGCCACACUGGGACUGAGACACGGCCCAGACUCCUACGGGAGGCAGCAGUGGGGAAUAUUGCACAAUGGGCGCAAGCCUGAUGCAGCAACGCCGCGUGAGGGACGACGGCCUUCGGGUUGUAAACCUCUUUUAGCAGGGAAGAAGCGAAAGUGACGGUACCUGCAGAAAAAGCGCCGGCUAACUACGUGCCAGCAGCCGCGGUAAUACGUAGGGCGCAAGCGUUAUCCGGAAUUAUUGGGCGUAAAGAGCUCGUAGGCGGUUUGUCGCGUCUGCUGUGAAAUCCGGAGGCUCAACCUCCGGCCUGCAGUGGGUACGGGCAGACUAGAGUGCGGUAGGGGAGAUUGGAAUUCCUGGUGUAGCGGUGGAAUGCGCAGAUAUCAGGAGGAACACCGAUGGCGAAGGCAGAUCUCUGGGCCGUAACUGACGCUGAGGAGCGAAAGGGUGGGGAGCAAACAGGCUUAGAUACCCUGGUAGUCCACCCCGUAAACGUUGGGAACUAGUUGUGGGGUCCAUUCCACGGA
rnacentral:rRNA from 1 species